AUGCCACGUUUGAAAACUGUCGUUUCUACUGUCCCUUUCCUUCACUACCGUCCCUUUCCUUUACUACUGUCCCUUUCCUUCACUACCGUCCCUUUCCUUUACGACUGUCCCUUUCCUUUACUACUGUCCCUUUCCUUCACUACCGUCCCUUUCCUUUACUACUGUCCCUUUCCUUUACUACUGUCCCUUUCCUUCUCUACUGUCCCUUUCCUUUACUGCUGUCCCUUUCCUUUACUGCUGUCCCUUUCCUUCUCUACUGUCCCUUUCCUUUACCGCUGUCCCUUUCCUUUACUACUGUCCCUUUCCUUUACUACUGUCCCUUUCCUUUACUGCUGUCCCUUUCCUUUACUACUGUCCCUUUCCUUUACUGCUGUCCCUUUCCUUUACUACCGUCCCUUUCCUUUACUACUGUCCCUUUCCUUCACUACUGUCCCUUUCCUCUUUACUACUGUCCCUUUCCUUUACUGCUGUCCCUUUCCUUCUCUACUGUCCCUUUCCUUUACCGCUGUCCCUUUCCUUUACCGCUGUCCCUUUCCUUCUCUACUGUCCCUUUCCUUCUCUACUGUCCCUUUCCUUUACCGCUGUCCCUUUCCUUUACCGCUGUCCCUUUCCUUUACUACCGUCCCUUUCCUUUACUACUGUCCAUUUCCUUCACUACUGUCCCUUCCUUCACUACUGUCCCUUUCCUUUACUACUGUCCCUUUCCUUUACUGCUGUCCCUUUCCUUUACUGCUGUCCCUUUCCUUUACUGCUGUCCCUUUCCUUCUCUACUGUCCCUUUCCUAUACUGCUGUCCCUUUCCUUUACUGCUGUCCCUUUCCUUUACUGCUGUCCCUUUCCUUUACUGCUGUCCCUUUCCUCUUUACUACUGUCCCUUUCCUUUACUACUGUCCCUUUCCUUUACUACUGUCCCUUUCCUUUACUACUGUCCCUUUCCUCUUUACUGCUGUCCCUUUCCUUUACCGCUGUCCCUUUCCUUCACUACUGUCCCUUUCCUUUACUACUGUCCAUUUCCUUCUCUACUGUCCCUUUCCUUCUCUACUGUCCCUUUCAUUCACUACUGUCCCUUUCCUUCACUACUGUCCCUUUCCUUCACUACUGUCCCUUUCCUUCACUACUGCCCCUUUCCUUCACUACUGUCCCUUUCCUUCACUUCUGUCCCUUUCCUUUACUAUUGUCCCUUCCUUCACUACUGUCCCUUCCUUCACUACUGUCCCUUCCUUCACUACUGUCCCUUUCCUUUACUACUGUCCCUUUCCUUUACUACUGUCCCUUUCCUUUACUACUGUCCCUUUCCUUUACUACUGUCCCUUUCCUUUAUUACUGUCCCUUUUCUUCACUACUGUCCCUUUCCUUAACUACUUUCCCCUUUCCUUUACUACUGUCCCUUUCCUUUACUACUGUCCCUUUCCUUCUCUACUGUCCCUUUCCUUUACUACUGUCCCCUUUCCUUUACUACUGUCCCUUUCCUUCUCUACUGUCCCUUUCCUUCUCUACUGUCCCUUUCCUUUACUACUGUCCCUUUCCUUUACUGCUGUCCCUUUCCUUUACUGCUGUCCCUUUCCUUCUCUACUGUCCAUUUCCUUUACUACCGUCCCUUUCCUUUACUGCUGUCCCUUUCCUUUACUGCUGUCCCUUUCCUUCUCUACUGUCCAUUUCCUUUACUACCGUCCCUUUCCUUCACUACUGUCCCUUUUCUUUACUACUGUCCCUUUCCUUCACUACUGUCCCUUUCCUUCACUACUGCCCCUUUCCUCUUUACUACUGUCCCUUGCCUCUUUACUACUGUUCCUUUCCUCUUUACUACUGUCCCUUUCCUUUACUACUGUCCCUUUCCUUUACUACUGUCCCUUUCCUCUUUACUUCUGUUCCUUUCCUCUUUACUACUGUCCCUUUCCUCUUUACUUCUGUUCCUUUCCUCUUUACUGCUGUCCCUUUCCUUUACUGCUGUCCCUUUCCUUUACUACUGUCCCUUUCCUUUACUACUGUCACUUUCCUCUUUACUACUGUCCCUUUCCUCUUUAUUACAGUCCCUUUCCUCUUUACUACUGUCCCUUUUCUUUACUGCUGUCCCUUGUCUUUACUACUGUCCCUUUCCUUUACUACUGUCCCUUUCCUUUACUACUGUCCCUUUCCUUUACUACUGUCCCUUUCCUUUACUACUGUCCCUUUCCUUUACUACUGUCCCUUUCCUCUUUAUUACAGUCCCUUUCCUCUUUACUACUGUCCCUUUUCUUUACUGCUGUCCCUUUCCUUCACUACUGUCCCUUUUCCUUUACUACUGUCCCUUUCCUUUACUACUGUCCCCUUCCUUUACUACUGUCCCUUUCCUUUACUACUGUCCCUUUCCUCUUUAUUACAGUCCCUUUCCUCUUUACUACUGCCCCUUUUCUUUACUACUGUCCCUUUCCCUUUACUACUGUCCCUUUCCUCUUUACUACUGUCCCUUUCCUUCACCACUGUCCCUUUCCUUCUCUACUGUCCCACUUUUACACUGCUUCUGAUGUUUUAUUUAUUUAUUCAGCAUUUAGUUAAACUAGGUAGCCUAGCGGUUGGGCCAGUAGCCGAAAGGUUGCUGGAUCAAAUCCCCGAGCUGACUAUGUGA
rnacentral:lncRNA from 1 species